CGCAUCUGUGCAUGCAGCAUAUCAAUAAGCGGAGGAAAAGAAACUAACAAGGAUUCCCCUAGUAACGGCGAGUGAAGCGGGAAGAGCUCAAAUUUGAAAUCUUAAAGGGUUUCCCUUUACGAAUUGUAGUUUAAAGAAGUGUUUUCUGUUGAGGUUUUGGUAAAAGUUCUUUGGAAUAGGACAUCAUAGAGGGUGAGAAUCCCGUAUUUGACCUUUACUUUCAACUUUGUGAUACACUUUCAAAGAGUCGGAUUGUUUGGGAAUGCAGUCCAAAAUGGGUGGUAAAUUUCAUCUAAAGCUAAUAUUGGCGAGAGACCGAUAGCGAACAAGUACCGUGAGGGAAAGAUGAAAAGAACUUUGAAAAGAGAGUUAAACAGUACGUGAAAUUGUCAAAAGGGAAGCGUUUCGACACCAGUGUUGUUUUUCUGAAAAUCAAUUAAAGAACUGUUUAUGCUAAGCUGUUUAGACUUUAUCAGCUAAUCUGUUUAGUUUUGAGCUUUUCUUUAAUGCACUUUUCAGUUAACAAGUCAACAUCAAUUUCUUUUGCUGUAAAAAAGCUUGAGGAAGGUGGCUUGAGAUUCGUCUUAAGUGUUUAUAGCCUCUUGCCUAUGCAGUCGGAGAGAUUGAGGUCUGCAGCGUAGAUCCUUCGGGGCUAAAUGCAUUUGUGCUAAGUUAUAGCAUUUUAUAGACAACUUGUUGACUAUGAUUUGUCUUGUAGCUUACUCGCUUAUGUUAUUUUACCUACGCUUAGGAUGUUGAGUCGUAGAGCACGCAG
rnacentral:rRNA from 1 species